GCCGGAUCCAGCGUUCGGUCCAGUUGUUACUUGGGCUUAAAGUUUACGGGCCGUGUUGUGAGAUUUUAUAAGUUGCUUAACCGUAGUUGUCUUGUCAGGAAUGUAAAGGUUCGGCCGCGUAACAGCUGAAAAUUUCAUUAUUUAAUUAUUCAUUCAGUCGAGUUUUGGGAUGAUUAGGCAAUCUCCUUGCGUUUUUUUAGUGCUGUCUAAUCAUCUGUAUCAUGACUCAUGAGCUAACAGCUGGCUACUACACUAUAACAGGAUGUUCACAAUGAUCAUGAGGGUUCAGAAUUCA